rnacentral:rRNA from 1 species
UACGUAGGAUGCAAGCGUUGUCCGGAAUUAUUGGGCGUAAAGCGAACGUAGGCGGCUUCUUAAGUUUGGUCUUAAAGACCGGGGCUCAACCCCCGGGAAUGGACUGAAUACUGGGAGGCUGGAGGAUGUCAGAGGAAAGUGGAAUUCCCAGUGUAGCGGUGAAAUGCGUAGAUAUUGGGAGGAACACCAGUGGCGAAAGCGACUUUCUGGGGCAUUCCUGACGCUGAGGUUCGAAAGCUCGGGGGAGCAAACAGG